rnacentral:rRNA from 1 species
CAGCUCAAAUUUGAAAUCCGGCCCCCUCGGGGCCCGAGUUGUAAUUUGUAGAGGGUGCUUCGGGCGCGAUGCCGGUCUAAGUUCCUUGGAACAGGACGUCGUAGAGGGUGAGAAUCCCGUAUGCGACCGGCGAUCAAGCCCGUGCGAAGCCCCUUCGACGAGUCGAGUUGUUUGGGAAUGCAGCUCAAAAUGGGUGGUAAAUUUCAUCUAAAGCUAAAUACCGGCCAGAGACCGAUAGCGGACAAGUAGAGUGAUCGAAAGAUGAAAAGCACUUUGGAAAGAGAGUCAAACAGUACGUGAAAUUGUUGAAAGGGAAGCGCUUGCAAUCAGACCGGUCCGGAGGCGAUCAGCCGCUGCUCGUCAGCGGUGCACUCGCCUGCGAUCCGGCCAGCAUCGGUUCGGGCGGCGGGACAAAAGUCCCGGGAAUGUAGCUUCUCUCGGGGAGUCUUAUAGCCCGGGUCGCAAUGCCGCCCGCCCGGACCGAGGACCGCGCUUCGGCUAGGAUGCUGGCGUAAUGGUUGCAAGCGA